GAUGAACGCUGGCGGCAUGCUUAACACAUGCAAGUUGAACGAGCUUAAUUUAUUAAGCUAAGUAGCGGACGGGUGAGUAGCGCGUAAGAAUCUACCUUUAGGAGAGGAAUAACUAUUGGAAACGGUAGCUAAUACCUCAUAAACUGUGGAGUAAAGGCGAAAGCCGCCUAAAGAUGAGCUUGCGUCUGAUUAGCUUGUUGGUAAUUUAAAGGUUACCAAGGCAACGAUCAGUAGUUGGUCUAAGAGGAUGAUCAACCACACUGGGACUGAGACACGGCCCAGACCUCUACGGAGGGCAGCAGUGAGGAAUUUUCCGCAAUGGGCGAAAGCCUGACGGAGCAAUGCCGCGUGGAGGAUGAAGGCUUGUGAGUCGUAAACUCCUUUUCUUAGUGAAGAAACAAGACGGUAUCUAAGGGAAUAAGCAUCGGGGCU
rnacentral:rRNA from 1 species